UACGUAGGGUGCAAGCGUUACUCGGAAUUACUGGGCGUAAAGCGUGCGCAGGCGGUUUUGUAAGUCUGACGUGAAAGCCCCGGGCUUAACCUGGGAAUUGCGUUGGAGACUGCAAGGCUUGAAUCUGGCAGAGGGGGGUAGAAUUCCACGUGUAGCAGUGAAAUGCGUAGAGAUGUGGAGGAACACCGAUGGCGAAGGCAGCCCCCUGGGUCAAGAUUGACGCUCAUGCACGAAAGCGUGGGGAGCAAACAGG
rnacentral:rRNA from 1 species